rnacentral:rRNA from 1 species
CCUACGGGUGGCAGCAGUGGGGAAUAUUGCACAAUGGGGGAAACCCUGAUGCAGCGACGCCGCGUGAGUGAAGAAGUAAUUCGGUACGUAAAGCUCUAUCAGCAGGGAAGAAAAUGACGGUAACUUAGUAAAAAGCCCCGGCUAACUACGGGCCAGCAACCGAGGGAAUAAGUAGGGGGCAAGCGGUAUCCGGCUUUACUGGGGGUAAAGGGAGCGUAGGCGGUGCGCCAAGUCUAGAGUGAAAUGCCGCAGGUUAACUCCGGAACUGCUUUUGAAACUGGCGAACUAGAGUGCGGGAGGGGUAAGCGGAAUUCCUGGUGUAGCGGUGAAAUGCGUAGAUAUUAGGAGGAACACCGGUGGCGAAGGCGGCUUACUGGACCGUAACUGACGUUGAGGCUCGAAAGCGUGGGGAGCGAACAGGAUUAGAUACCCCUGUAGUC